AACGCCCGGUCACAUUCCGAACCCGGAAGCUAAGACUCUUUGCGCCGAUGGUACUGCAGGGGGGACCCUGUGGGAGAGUAGGACACCGCCGGAC
rnacentral:rRNA from 1 species